AAUCUUGUCUGUUACCCCUCCUCUCGUGGCCAGUACAAUAUCAUUGUCCACCUUGAAGCACACGGUUUCGUCAAAAACCAUUUCUAGAAGGGACGCGAUGAUUGCUCUCUGUCCAUCUCAGAAUUGCCAAAAUGAAAUGUCCUGCUGCAUACCAAAUUGGCAUAGCUUUUGCUUCCGUUUCUCCCUUACAAAUGCCACAAAUUGUUCCAAAGACCUGACUUUCUAAGUUGCUUUAAGCAAAAGCUUGCCAAAUGUUGUUUCUGACGGCAGCGAGAGAGAAACGGGCUUUGCCAAAGGGGCCUUCGUCUGGGAGGCUGAGCGCGUCUCAUGACUCAUGAGAGGACAAACCGAGAUUGAUCCUGUGGAUAAAGAAAGCAAAACGUGUGAUGGAGAACGGGACAAAAUUCUGACCUGUAUCGAUUGUCGCGCUGCACAGGCUACUGUAUCAUCCGUUCGGUGCCCUAUGGAUAGGACUAACAUUUUUCUCAGCUAGUGGCUGUGCUGGUGUACGUGCCGAUCACGUGGGUGCUAGGAAAGCAUUGUGAUCUGGAAAUGAGCGGUCGUUUUCCACGUUGA